rnacentral:rRNA from 1 species
UUAAAUUGAAGAGUUUGAUCAUGGCUCAGAUUGAACGCUGGCGGCAGGCCUAACACAUGCAAGUCGAACGGUAACAGAAAGCAGCUUGCUGCUUUGCUGACGAGUGGCGGACGGGUGAGUAAUGUCUGGGAAACUGCCUGAUGGAGGGGGAUAACUACUGGAAACGGUAGCUAAUACCGCAUAAAUGGGCAAGACCAAGAGGGGGA